rnacentral:tRNA from 1 species
UAGAAAGAAGCUCGCUGGAUAGAGUAGUUAGUUGUUAACUAAUUGUUUGUGGGAUCAAGGCCCGCCUUUCUAG